GGGGAUGUAGCUCAGUGGCAGAGCAGUUGCCUAGCAUGCAUGAAGCCCUGGGUUCCAUCUCCAGCACCACA
rnacentral:tRNA from 1 species